GUCAUUACAUCACUGAUGAGGUCACUUCCUGUUCCUCCUCUCCAGUCAGUUCAGAUGAGAUGAGAUGUCAGUUGGUUGUCAAUGAUCACUAAGUCAACAUGAUCACAACUCUUAUCAUUAUCACUGUCCCACUAUUCUGGAUUACAGGUGUCUCUCUCAGUAAAUCAGCGUACCAGUCUCCCUCUACGUCUCUGGUGAUGCCUAAUGCCUCUGUCACACUCAACUGCAGUCAUAAAAUCCCCAGCUAUGACACAGUCCUCUGGUACAAGCGUUCUGUGGAAGACACGGCUCUAAACCUCAUAGCUUAUAUAUACUAUAAAACCCCAACAGUUGAACCCUCAUAUAAAGGUCACUUUGAUGUGAGAGGAGAUGGAGAGAACGAUGCUUUCCUUCAUAUCCUCAAACCGAGACAAGCUGAAGACAGUGGGGAGUAUUUCUGUGCUGCCAGUCUACACAGUGGUACAGAGACCUAGUCCACUCUACAAAAACCUCCAUCUGACACUACAUCAAAACACCUGCAUUA